GUUUGACAACAACCUCCUGACUUAUGAGAAUGAAGUGUUGUUCACAUCUUACCGGUUGAGAGUUGCCUGUCACUACCUGGUCAAUGACACCAAGGUAGUACAGUUCUUGUACCAGAAUAAUCCUGCACCUGUAGCCCAGCCUGGCUUGGGGGACCUUGCAGUCAUCAUGCGGCUUGCAUUGGAUUCAACCUACAAUGACUUCUAUGGAGCUCAGGAUUACCCUGUUGUGAAGUACUUGCGAAGACCCUUGUAUUUUGAGGUAGAGCUCCUGUACAGCAGGGAUCCACAGGCUGAAUUGUUUUUGGAGAACUGCUGGGCAACCUAUUCUGUUGACAGGAAUAGCUCUCCAAAGUGGGAUGUCGUUGU